rnacentral:rRNA from 1 species
UACAGAGGUCUCAAGCGUUGUUCGGAUUCAUUGGGCGUAAAGGGUGCGUAGGUGGCGCCGUAAGUGGGGUGUGAAAUCUCGGGGCUUAACUCCGAAACUGCAUUCCAUACUGCGGUGCUUGAGGACUGGAGAGGAGACUGGAAUUUACGGUGUAGCGGUGAAAUGCGUAGAUAUCGGGAGGAACACCAGUGGCGAAGGCGACUACCUGGCCUGUUUCUUGACGCUGAGGCGCGAAAGCUAGGGGAGCAAACGGG